rnacentral:rRNA from 1 species
AUUCCAGAUCCAAUAGCGUAUAUUAAAGUUGUUGCAGUUAAAAAGCUCGUAGUUGAACUUCUGGCGGAUGUUUUCGCUGGCUUCGGUCGCGUUAAUGUCUGUCAUCCGCUAGGGAACCUCGUUCGGUCUUCAUUGGUCGGCGGGAGGAUCUGGCAUUUUACUUUGAAAAAAUUAGAGUGUUCAAGGCAGGCGAUCGCCAUGAAUACACAAGCAUGGAAUAAUGGAAUAGGACUUAUGGUCAUUUUAUUGGUUAUUGACUGUAAGUAAUGAUUAAUAGGGACAGUUGGGGGCAUUAGUAUUUAAUUGUCAGAGGUGAAAUUCUUGGAUUUAUUAAAGACUAACUUAUGCGAAAGCAUUUACCAAGGAUGUUUUCAUUA